rnacentral:rRNA from 1 species
GAAUUUUGGACAAUGGGCGAAAGCCUGAUCCAGCAAUGCUGCGUGUAGGAUGAAGGCCUUCGUGUUGUAAACUGCUUUUGUACGGAACGACAAGCUUUGGGUUAAUAUCCUGGAUUCAUGCAGGACCAGACAGAAUAAGCCGCGACUACCUAACUGCUAGCAGCCGCGGUAAUACGUAGGGUGCAAGCGUUAAUCGGAAUUACUGGGCGUAAAGCGUGCGCAGGCGGUUUUGUAAGACAGAGGUGAAAUCCCCGGGCUCAACCUGGGAGCUGCCUUUGUGACUGCAAGGCUAGGGUACGGCAGAGGGGGGUGGAAUUCCGCGUGUAGUAGUGAAAUGCGUAGAUAUGCGGAGGAACACCGAUGGCGAAGGCAACCCCCUGGGCCUGUACUGACGCUCAUGCACGAAAGCGUGGGGAGCAAAC